rnacentral:misc_RNA from 1 species
CUUGGAAUCACAACUCUAUCCUAAAAAAAAGGGAGGAAAACUUGGAAUCAAAAUUCUUCCAUUUCUCCCUGUAACUAGACUUUUGAACGGCACAUUCAACCAUGCAUGAGACAAAACCCAAUAUGUUGAGUCUGCGUGUGCUUGUUUUAUUAUAUAUUAUUGGUCGAUUGAUUGAUAUUGAAAAUGAAAGCGCUUUAUCAUUCUGAUCAGGGAUCGGAAAAGAAAGCACUUUAUAUUUAACAGAGACUACAAGCAGCAAUCAAAGCGUUACUGUUGGGUUCAUUUCCCAGUUCAGAAUCAAUACGUUGGAGACACCUCUCUUUAAUUAUGGAGGCUGACGAAGAAGACCUAUGAUUUACAAUUUUUUUUCUUUGCGUAUACAAUUUCAUUACAAUUGGAGGUCCUAAUUCUCAAGAUGGUGAAAGAAAAGAACGAUAUUAGGCCUGUUUUAGUGAAAUUGGGGGUGGCUUUAGCUCUUUCUUUUGCUGGAUUUCUGUAUUCUCGCAUAAAAUGCAGAAGACAUACAUGCUCCAAGCCCCCUCGCUCCCCACUCCCUCCAGGUUUGCUAUUGCCUUUGGUUGAUUGUUCUUGUCUAAAUUUUGUCUGGGAUUUCAUAUUUGUGUCCCCAUUUUAUUGUAUUAUUAUUAUGAUUAUGUAUGCUUCAGUUCAUUUAAGUGAAGUUGAUGGAGGAGGAAGAGCUGCAAUGAAGAAAACGCACAGCUCAGGCAGCAUCGAGCCAGGUUCAGCAGAAAGCCAUGUAAGUUAUUUUCAUAAUUUUGUUAAUAUUUGAAAUUUUUUUUAACAUUAAAAUACUUUUAGUUUUAAAUUUUGUUUUGUUGUAUCUGCUAAACGACUGGUCAUGUUUUGUGGAUUAUAUAUUCUUUCUUUGUCGGUGCCACAAAUUCUCUCCUGUUUUGGUGCAAAAAUGCGAAUUCAAAAGACUAAAUUAUCUUUUCUGCUCAUUGCCAAUACUGUUGACGAUGGCUAUUUAUUUAUACAGGAAUUUGUGCAUAUGGUGGUAAUUUUUAUUAAUGUUUGCCAUCUAAGCAAAUGGAUGAAUUGCUGUUUCUGCAUUUUACUUACAAUGAAAGGGAAACUAUUUCUGGUUUUCUGUCUUGCAGGAAGAUACACGCAUAGUCAAGAUUGCUGCUGAUAACCCUAUGGUUCUUUCUCCAGGCUGUAGACAUGGUGGGGAAAAAGAUGGGUAUCUCUUGCCCGAAUUUAAUGAUCUCGUGAAGGAAUUUGACUGCACUACCAUUAACACUGGGAUAUCUACGAAGAAGGACCUAGAAACACCUAGGUCAUACGUGGGAACUUCAAGAGCAAUUAAAAAUGUGGAAAAUGAUGACUAUGAGCAAGAAAUCAGACAUCUGAAUGCCACGGUAAGAAUGCUUCAAGAAAGGGAGAAGAACCUUGAGGUCCAAUUGCUUGAGUUUUAUGGCCUCAAAGAGCAAGAAACUGCCAUGAUAGAGCUGCAGAACCGUUUGAGAAUAAACAAUAUGGAAGCUAAGCUUUUCAAUCUCAAGAUUGAGUCCUUACAGGCAGAUAACCAAAGACUACAGGCACAAGUGGCUGAUCAUGCAAAAAUCAUUGCUGAUCUCGAUGCCGCAAAAGCAAAAAUUAAAUUAUUGAGGAAGAUGCUAAGGUCUGAAUCUGAGCAGAACAAGGAACAGAUCUUAACCCUUCAGAAAAGAGUAACUAGGUUGCAAGAGCAGGAACUCAAGGCUGCUGCAACUGAUUCGGAGAUUCAAUUAAAGUUACAAAAGCUGAAGGAUCUGGAGGCCAAGGCACAAGAGUUAAGGGAGUCUAACUUUAGAUUGCAUAUAGAAAUUUCUGAAUUGGCUCAUCAGUUGGAGUCCACUCAAAUUCUUGUAAAUUCUGUUCUUGAAGAUCCUGAGGUAAUUUGUUCAUUCUUGAUAAAUGCUUUCUAUUUCUUUAUAUCCAUUGUUCUUGGAUUUAUUUUCUAGGUUUAUUUUGAUGCAGACAGCAGAACUAAGAGAACAUAGCAACCGACUAAGACAGGAAAAUGGAGACUUGGCAAAGCAAGUUGAGCAACUUCAAGCAGGCCGAUGUACUGAUGUUGAAGCAUUAGUCUAUCACCGAUGGAUGAAUGCUUGCUUGAGAUAUGAGUUGCGCAAUUUUCAGCCUCCACAUGGUAAAACAGUUGCAAGAGACCUAAGCAAAUCCCUCAGUCCAGAGUCUGAGGUGAAAGCAAAACAGCUAAUACUUGAAUAUGCAAAUACUGAAGGGAUGGGGGAGAAGGGAAUUGACAUCAUGGAUUUUCUGUCUGACCAGUGGUCUUCCUCUCACACUUCCUCUACUCUAGACCCAUCGGACUUUGAUGAUUCUUCAGUUUCACCGAAAAACAACAACUCGAGCAAAAUCAAAAUUUUCAACAAGCUAAGGAGACUUAUUCGGGGAAAAGACAAUCAGCAUUGUAAUCAUGGUUCAUCAGCAUGCAAAACUGGACGAACAGAAGAUUCUGAUUCUCCACUUGGCAGUUCAAGUAUUUCAACAGCAACUGAUACUGCAAGUGAUCAGCAAUCUAAUAGAGUACAAAGUCUGUCUUCACAAUUGUCUUGGCACUCAUCUAGACCUUCUGCAGAUAUCCGUGUUAGUGUAUGUGCACAGCAGCCAAUGUGUUAAUUGCAAGUGUGAUCACUUAAUUCAUGUAUAUAUAUAUAUAUAUUCUUAAUAAAUUUCCUCAUUAUUAAAUUAAAGGGGAAUUGUGGUUUUACAUAAAUUCAAGGUGAUAGAAUCUUUGCAUUAUUCUUAUUAUAUGAGUCUUUCUUGAUAUAUACUACCAGAUAAAGCAUUCAAUAAUCAAGAAAGUUUCCUUUCUU